UACGGAAGGCAGCAGUGGGGAAUAUUGCACAAUGGGCGCAAGCCUGAUGCAGCCAUGCCGCGUGUAUGAAGAAGGCCUUCGGGUUGUAAAGUACUUUCAGCGGGGAGGAAGGCGAUGUGGUUAAUAACCGCGUCGAUUGACGUUACCCGCAGAAGAAGCACCGGCUAACUCCGUGCCAGCAGCCGCGGUAAUACGGAGGGUGCAAGCGUUAAUCGGAAUUACUGGGCGUAAAGCGCACGCAGGCGGUCUGUUAAGUCAGAUGUGAAAUCCCCGGGCUUAACCUGGGAACUGCAUUUUGAAACUGGCAGGCUUGAGUCUCGUAGAGGGGGUAGAAUUCCAGGUGUAGCGGUGAAAUGCGUAGAGAUCUGGAGGAAUACCGGUGGCGAAGGCGGCCCCUGGGACGAGACUGACGCUCAGGGUGCGAAAGCGUGGGGAGCAAACGAGGGAUUAGGAUACCCGGU
rnacentral:rRNA from 1 species